rnacentral:rRNA from 1 species
UACGUAGGUGGCAAGCGUUGUCCGGAUUUAUUGGGUUUAAAGGGUGCGUAGGCGGUCCUAUAAGUCAGUGCUGAAAUAUCCCGGCUUAACCGGGAGGGUGGCAUUGAUACUGCAGGACUUGAGUAAAGUUGAGGUUGGCGGAAUUGACGGUGUAGCGGUGAAAUGCUUAGAUAUCGUCAAGAACACCUAUUGCGAAGGCAGCUAUCUGAGCUUUAACUGACGCUGAGGCACGAAAGCGUGGGGAUCGAACAGG